GUCCGCAAUAAGUGGUGUAUAUAAAUGUAUUAUACUUUGAAAUAAAUUAGCUUUUAAAGCACAUGCACUUGUCUCAGAAAUGUUUUCCCCAUAUAUACCUUAAUGUAUUAAGGUAGAUAGGAAUUUUUUUCUGAGACAAGUGCCUGUGUUUCAAACUGUUAAUUUCGUCACUUAGACCAAAAGUUGUUUACGUCUAUGUCCUUUGUUAUAUGGGGGUCUGUUCUCAUUUGAAAUCUUUAUCGAUCAUAGAUUGUAAGAAAAUGGCAUAAAACACACCAACAAAAUAUCUCUUGUAUAUAAAGAACAAUAACUCAUAUCAGUUGGCCAUGCUCAUCGAUCACUUGCAAGUAAAACUUGGUUUUAUGACUAAUUUAUACUGUGUACCGUUUUCUCUAUUGGCUCGUUUGUUUAUUUCGCUGUUUCAUAUGUAAAGGUACUUUUUAUGCUAAACACAGUUUCCCUGUCAUGUAGCUUUUCCAAUUUCACUAUAUAAAUGCACGAAUCCGAUAU
rnacentral:lncRNA from 1 species